AACGGCCGUACCAUGCUGAAUAUACCGGUUCUCGUUAGAUCACCGAAGUCAAGCAUCAUUGGGCGCGGUCAUUACUUGGGAGGGUGACCACAUGGGAACACCGCGUGCCGUU
rnacentral:rRNA from 1 species